ensembl:misc_RNA Metazoa_SRP Metazoan signal recognition particle RNA
GCCGGGCACGGUGGCAUGUGCCUGCAGUCCCAGCUACUUGGGAGGUGGGAGGAUCGCUUGAGACCAGGAUUUCUGGGCUGCAGUGCACUACGAUCAGGUGUCCGCAUUAAGUUCGGCAUCAAUAUGAUGACCUCCUGGGAGUGGGGACCACCAGGUUGCCUAAGGAGGGGUAAACCGGCCCAGGUCGGAAAUGGAGCAGGUCAUAACUCCCAUGCUCAGUAGCAGGAUCGCGCCUGUGAAAAGCCACUGCACUCCAGCCUGGGCAACAUAGUGAAACCUU